UUUACUUUUCUUCUUCUCUUCCCUCCACCGCUAAGAUUUUCUCCAUCCAUUUCCACCACUUUCUUUACCAUUUCUGCACCAACUUUCAGAGGAAUUUCAAAGGGAAGAAUGCUGAGAAAGGAAGAAGAAGUUCAAGAAGUUUUGUUGAAGGAAGACAAGGGAAUUGCAAGCAAAGCUUCAUCUUUGGCAGAAAUUGAUUCACACAGCACACCUCUAAUGUUCUAUUGAUUCCGAGCUACAAAAAAAGAAUUAAGAGAAAACAGGGCAGCUGGUUUUCACGCGAUUUCAGGAGGUCUCUGGUUUUUCUUGUUUUGCCGAGAGUACCGAUGGAGUUAGGAUCUCUAUUUGGCAUGGUUGGAAAGCUUAUUCAAUUUACAACUUUCAUGAAGAAAUUAUGAACCCAAAACGACAAAAAAUAAGUUAAAUUGUAUGAACAAGUUAAAGGGGUCGUGUGCGUACGAUUAUUGAAGUUGCUCUGUUUCGACUGUUAUCUGAGUGUAUUCACAGGAAAUCAGAUUUAUAUGUCUUGAGGUAAGUUUUAGAGGACCUCAAAAUGAAGAUUUUGAUAUAAAUAAAUCUCAUUUUGGUUAA